CAACUUUGUUUUGAUAAGCUGAAGAAAUCAAACUCUGAGACUUUCAUUUUAAGACAUUUUCUCCUGUUUUCAGAAAGUCAUGGAGCAAACUUGGAUAUCAGACCUCUGACUAUCUACUUGGCUUGUUCACCGGCACCCUGAGAGACAAGGCUUGAUGCAGAUUUCUGAUGUGAUUUGGCAGGUUCUGCGAAAAUAACUGCAAGAGUUGCUGCUUUAUUGCUUGUCACACAAUAUUCAGACAUUUUUCAUUCAGCUGUAUCUUCUUUACAUAAUCUUUUUCUUUUUGCCGCUUUCUAGAUUUAUUCUUGCCAUCAAACAUUUCCAUUUAUUUUUCUAUCAGCUUCUUCCCUCAAGAUGAACCCCCUGCUAGGAUGCAAAUCCAGACUACUUUCACAUCUUUCUAAGACUUUAUGUUUUAGUUACAAAGUUCCUUCUCUGCAACUGGGAAACUUCUCUGCCCCUACAGAUAUGGUUACAUACACUUUUUAAAAUGUCUAUCAAAUACUGAAGUUGAUACCUCACAGGGAUUCAGAGAAGAAAUUACAUUUUACAAUGUUUCUUCAGCUGCAUGCAAAUAUUCGAAAUCUGGUGGAUUUGGUUCAUGUGCUUUUUCCAUGACCAUCUUUGGCUUCUGUUUUAAGUGAAUGAAAACUGUGGCAGAAGGAGCAGCUCAGAGAGAGGUGUACCCCACAUCCUAGCUCUGCUGCAGGCUGCAACAACUUGCAAUCACAGAACAUGACAAUUAAUAAAGAAGCUUAGAGCUUUACUUUGAAACACCUA